CAGGUUAUCAGUGAUGGUGUUAAAAUGAAGGUCAGGACAGUGACCAACCUCAAGGUCACUAAAGGUCAGUUAACCUUCAAUGGUCGUACAGGAGAGAUGUGUUGCUCCUCCUCCUGCUGCCCCGCCGGCUUUACCGCUUCCUCAGCCUCUUAAUACACCUAAAUAACGUGUGGUAAUUGCUGUGCCUGGCUGUGUCUGCUGCAACAGUGAUCAACACAGCAACAAUGACCAGUCUGAGGAAUGGAGACAACCACACUAGUAAAUGGUCUGACUCAUGACAUUUAGUGUUACGUGGAGAUGCAGCAGUUGGAGACGUCAUCAAGGGUUGGCGGGGCCCACUUGUAAGACUGUUGAAUAUUGUGUGUUGCUGUAUCAACAUGUGAGGCCCAAGACUGUUGCAACAUGUAACCAAAAAUACUGCUGGAACAAGUGUAGAAGCCUUCAAGAGGAAACUGGACAAGUAUCUUCACCAGGUGCUGGAUCAACCAGGCUGUGAUGGAGUGGGUCAGUGGACCACCAGCAGUAACAUCCUGGUGUAGCAGGCAAGCACCAGAUAAGCCUGACCCCUGGCUGGGCUCUGGCAGUAGAAAAACACUCAGAACUCAUCAGAGGUUAAUGUUAGUUUGUCAAUAGUGUGUGUGAGGAGUUUAUAAUAAUCAUUUUUUUUUUCAACAAACCAGCCGUAUCCCACCAAGGCAGGGUGGCCCAAAAAGAAAAACGAAAGUUUCUCUUUUUAAAUUUAGUAAUUUGUACGGGAGAAGGGGUUACUAGCCCCUUGCUCCCGGCAUUUUAGUCGCCUCUUACAACACGCAUGGCUUAUGGAGGAAGAAUUCUGUUCCACUUCCCCAUGGAGAUAAGAGGAAAUAAACAAGAACAAGAACUAGAAAGAAAAUAGAAGAAAACCCAGAGGGGUGUGUAUAUAUGUGCUUGUACAUGUAUGUGUAGUGUGACCUAAGUGUAAGUAGAAGUAGCAAGACAUACCUGAAAUCUUGCAUGUUUAUGAGACAGAAAAAAAGACACCAGCAAUCCUACCAUCAUGUAAAACAAUUACAGGCUUUCAUUUUACACUCACUUGGCAGGACGGUAGUACCUCCCUGGGCGGUUGCUGUCUACCAACCUACUACCUUCAAUAUCAGUAUUAUAUAAUAUUAAUUAUGAGGUUUGUAUAUAACAGUGGUGUUAAUAUGUCCCUAAAAUACUGAGCAGAAUAAACAUGAUUAAAGAUCUAUUAGAAUUUUACCCAAAUUAUAAUGAGGAUAAAGAAUACAGCCUCUCCUCACUUAGCAACGUAUUUGUUUAUCGACGACUCUGACUUAUGACAGGCUCUCUGUCCAGUAUGCAUACCUAAAUAAUGUAUAUUAGAGCUGAUUGCCUCUAUUCUGUUUAUUACAAUAUACAGUACACUACUGUAUAAACAUUUAAAAAUAAACUAAAAAUGUUUUAAAUGUUGCAGAGGUGACAUUAAAACAAUAUCAAAGAUGGUUGACACAGACUCUACCAUUAUAGUAUGAUCCUCACUUAGCCACAAAUUUGUUUACUGACAUGGUCUUAGAAACAGAACUCCAUCAUUAAGUGAGGAGAGGCUGUAUAACAGUACCAGGAAGUUAGAAAGACAUUAUAUACUGACCUGUGGUAAUAAACAGAAGUAAAUAUGUUAUGUUAGAAUCUUUUUUUAUGUUUGCAAUUAUUUAAGUUCCCAAAAUAUUUUUAAUGUAAAUGUAAUUAACCGUUUGAUUAGAGCUAGAACCAUGUAAAACCAUUAUAGAUUACACGUAGUCUGGCUUUAUGUCGUCCUAAAUGCUGGACCUAAUGAGCUGUCACUAGUCGAACUCGCAGAAAAUCAAUUUAGACUCGUUUUACUUUUUUUUUUUUAACCGAAAUUAACUUUAUUUCUUUAUUUCAGCACGACACAAUGUUUGUACAACUGUCCCACUUUAUACUGACCCACCACUGUGCUUCCCACUUUAUACUGACCCUCCACUGUGCUUCCCACUUUAUACUGACCCUCCACUGUGCUUCCCACUUUAUACUGACCCUCCAAUCCAAUUCAUUCUAAUGAGGACACUAGAGCACUCCAGGAUGAUUUGAAUAGGCUGAUGCAAUGGUCGGAGAAGUGGCAGAUGCAGUUUAACCCCUAAAGAGUCCAAACAUAUAUAUACAUCCACUUGUGUAGCACCCCAAAUUUUUUGAGAGAAAAAAAAUCGCUUUUUUAGUAGGAAAAAAGAGCAUAUGGUACCCAGGCAUCCCCAAUUAUUUUAAUAUGGCGCACAGUGAGUGCGCGCACCCAUUCUCUCAUGCCUAGGCGACUCAGGCUUAUUGUGGCAAUGAUGAAUGAAUGACAAAGAAAACGUAUAUAUAUGUUUGGGGCGCUACGCACGUGAACGUAUACAGUGGACCCCCGGUUUACGAUAUUUCAUUCCAGAAGUAUGUUCAGGUGCCAGUACUGACCGAAUUUGUUCCCAUAAGGAAUAUUGUGAAUUAGAUUAGUCUAUUUCAGACCCCCAAACAUACACAUACAAACGCACUUACAUAAAUACACUUACAUAAUUGGUCGCAUUGGGAGCUGAUCGUAAACCGGGGGUCCACUGUAUAUAUGUUUGGACCAUUUAGGGGUUAAUAUAGACAAAUACAAAGUUCUAAAUGUUGGACACGAAAAUAACCAUGCAACAUAUAAACUAAAUAAUGUAGAUCUUAAUACCACUGAUUGUGAAAAGGAUUUAGGAGUUCUGGUUAGCAGUAAUCUAAAACCAAAACAACAGUGCAUUAGUGUUCGCAAUAAAGCUAACAGAAUUCUUGGCUUCAUAUCUAGAAGCAUAAGUAAUAGAAGUCCUCAGGUUGUUCAACUCUAUAUAUCCUUGGUUAGGCCUCAUUUAGACUAUGCUGCUCAGUUCUGGUCACCGUAUUACAGAAUGGAUAUAAAUGCUCUGGAAAACGUGCAGAGGAGGAUGACAAAAAUGAUCCCAUGCAUCAGAAAUCUUCCCUAUGAGGAUAGACUGAGGGUCCUGAAUCUGCACUCUUGAAAGGCGUAGAAUUAGGGGGGAUAUGAUCAAGGUGUGUAAAUGGAAAACGGGAAUAAAGGGGAUGUAAAUAGCGUGCUGAAAAUUUCCAGCCAAGACAGGACUUGCAGCAAUGGUUUCAAGUUGGAAAAAUUCAGAUUCAGGAAGGAUAUAGAAAAAGCACUGGUUUGGUAAUAGAGUUGUGGAUGAGUGGAACAAACUCCCGAGUACAGUUAUUGAGGCUAAAAUGUUGUGUAGUUUUAAAAAUAGGUUAGAUAAAUACAUGAGUGGGUGUGGAUGGGUGUGAGUUGGACCUGACCAACUUGUGCUGCUGGGUCUGGUGCCGUUCUCCUUCCUUGAGUGGAGGUGACCAGACUGGGUGGGUCAUUGGGCUAAUCUGAGGGGGGGGGACAUGGACCUGCUCUGCAUGGGUCAGUAGGCCUGUUGCAGUGUUCCUUCUUUCUUAUGUUGUUCUUAUGUUCACGGUGCUUCCCACUUUACACUGACCCUCCACUGUGCUUCCCACUUUAUACUGACCCACCACUGUGCUUCCCACUUUAUACUGACCCUCCACUGUGCUUCCCACUUUAUACUGACCCACCACUGUGCUUCCCACUUUAUACUGACC